rnacentral:rRNA from 1 species
CGUAGGGUGCGAGCGUUAAUCGGAAUUACUGGGCGUAAAGCGUGCGCAGGCGGUUUUGUAAGACAGGCGUGAAAUCCCCGGGCUCAACCUGGGAACUGCGCUUGUGACUGCAAGGCUAGAGUACGGCAGAGGGGGGUGGAAUUCCACGUGUAGCAGUGAAAUGCGUAGAGAUGUGGAGGAACACCAAUGGCGAAGGCAGCCCCCUGGGUCGAUACUGACGCUCAUGCACGAAAGCGUGGGUAGCAAACAGGAUUAGAUACCCUGGUAGUCCACGCCCUAAACGAUGUCAACUAGGUGUUGGGUGGGUAAAACCAUUUAGUACCGGAGCUAACGCGUGAAGUUGACCGCCUGGGGAUACGGCCGCAAGGUUA